GAAACACCUGUGCAUCAAAUCAGUGAAAUCAGUUCUUAGUGACGGGAGUCCCAAGGGGGACAUUACAGCCUACAUCAUGAUCCAACUAUUUAACAUCAGGGUCUUGGGCCAGGUGCCCGAUGCCCUGCAGGGGCUGUGCUCCAUGGGGCAGCCUUGAAGACCCCCCCCCUGUUCGCAUGACCAGCUCCCACCCUCUGCCGCAGCCUCGCUGCAGGCCCUCCACCCACCCACUCCACAGCAUUGCCUCCUUCUCCUCCUGAUCUUCCCCAACCUCUCCGAUUUCGACUACAUGGCUUCGACCUUUGCAUGGAUAUGGACUUUGGCUCGUACUUCCGA